GACGAACGCUGGCGGCGUGCCUAAUACAUGCAAGUAGAACGCACAGUUUAUACCGUAGCUUGCUACACCAUAGACUGUGAGUUGCGAACGGGUGAGUAACGCGUAGGUAACCUGCCUGGUAGCGGGGGAUAACUAUUGGAAACGAUAGCUAAUACCGCAUAAUAUUAAUUAUUGCAUGAUAAUUGAUUGAAAGAUGCAACUGCAUCACUACCAGAUGGACCUGCGUUGUAUUAGCUAGUAGGUGAGGUAACGGCUCACCUAGGCGACGAUACAUAGCCGACCUGAGAGGGUGAUCGGCCACACUGGGACUGGGACACGGCCCAGACUCCUACGGGAGGCAGCAGUAGGGAAUCUUCGGCAAUGGACGGAAGUCUGACCGAGCAACGCCGCGUGAGUGAAGAAGGUUUUCGGAUCGUAAAGCUCUGUUGUAAGAGAAGAACGGGUGUGAGAGUGGAAAGUUCACACGGUGACGGUAUCUUACCAGAAAGGGACGGCUAACUACGU
rnacentral:rRNA from 1 species